rnacentral:rRNA from 1 species
GUAGGUUGGCUUAGAGGUAGCCAUCCUUUAAAGAGUGUGUAACAACUCACUAUUCAAUGGUUAGUUGCGCCAAAAAUGUAUCGGGGCUAAAGCAAAAUACCGAAGGCGCGAAUUUACUAUUAUGAUGAUAGUAUCUGGUAGGAGAGCAUUUCUAUCUGCUGUGAAGUCGUACUCGUGAGAGGCGAUGGAGCGUUAGGAAGAGAGAAUGUUGGUAUAAGUAAUCCCAAAUUAUGUGAGAAACAUAAUCCCCGCAAAUCCUAGGUUUCCGUGGCAAUGACAAUCAACCACGGGUUAGGCGAUCCUAAGGUCAUGGCGAAAGCCGCAGCCGAUGGGUAAGCCGGUUAAUAUUCCGGCCCGUCUGAUAUAUUCGAUGGAGGGACGAAGGAAAUAAAUUUACGCGCCUUAAUGGUUUGGCGUCGUUGAUUCUGAGAUUCGAUAUCCAGGCAAAUCCGGGUAUCUGCCUUUAAUGGCGAGCUUCGUGAAUUGAGGUAAGGUAGAAUUUUAUUCUACUAAUGUAAAUGAAGAGCCUUCCGAGAAAAUCUUCUAAGUGUAACCUCUGAAUAAAUUCAACGAUUAUUGGCCAGAAAGAUUUUUUAUUCUGGCUAGGCGAGAGAAGCGAAGUGUGUACUAUGUAUACACGAGCGAUGAGCAACGACGCUAGGAUAAAAAAUAUUCUGGCUCGCAGAGAAACUCAAAAUUAAGCGAGUUCUGUGUUGCUCCUCCUCAAUGUGGUAAAACCACUAUUUCGUCGUCGCGCCUUGAACUCAUCUUAAUUUAUGAGUUUCCAAUAUAUCGCUGCAUUUAUUCAGAGGUUACUAAAUAUAUUAGACAUCGUACCGUAAACCGACACAGGUGGGUGAGGCGAGAAGCCUCAGGGGAACGAGUGAGUCUUGGUUAAGGAACUCGGCAAAAAAGCGUCCGUAAGUUCGCAAUAAGGACUGCCCUUCGCAAGAAGGGCCGCAGCUAAAGUAUCUCUGGCAACUGUUUACCAAAAACACAACUCCCUGCUAACACGUAAGUGGAUGUAUAGGGGGUGACACCUGACCGAUGCGAGAAGGUUAACGGUGGGGGUGGUGCGUCGUAAGACGUAUUGCUCACCGCCCGAAGCCCUCGUCAAUGUCGGCGGUAACUAUAACCGUCCAAAGGUAGCGCAAUUCCUUUUCAGGUAAGUUCUGAAGCGCAUGAAAGGUGUAAUGAUCGGAGAACUGUCUCAACCAAGAGCUCGAUGAAAAUGCGAUUCCAGUGAAGACGCUGGAUACCUGCAGCAAGACGAAAAGACCCCAGGAGCUUUACUGUGUGUUUGCAUUGACUUUAAAGGUUUAAUACGUAGCGUAGUGGUGAGGAUUUGAAGUCUGUCUUUCGGGGCAGAUGGAUCCGACGAUGAAACAGCCAUUUUUAAUUCUUUAAAGCCUAACCGAUCAGGAGUCCAGAUUUAUUUGGUAAGCCUGAUUGAGACAGUGCAUGCUGGACAGUUUAAAUGGGGCAUUUUCCUCCUAAAGAGUAAUGGAGGAGUUUAUCAAGGUUGGUUUAGCCCGGAUGGAAAUCGGGCUGGACGCGUAAAGGCAAAAACCAGCUUGACUGCAAGACUUACAAGUCGCGCAGGUGCGAAAGCAGAACUUAGCGACCCGACAAUUCUUUAUAGAAAGGUUGGAGACAACGGCUAAAAGUUACCCUGGGGAUAACAGGCUAGUUUCGUCCGAGAGUCCCUAUCGACGACGAAGCUCGGCACCUCGAUGUCGGCUCAUCCUAGCGCGGGGCUGGAGAAGGUCCCAAGCGUAUGGCUGUUCGCCAUUUAAAAGGAUACGUGAGCUGGGUUCAAACCGUCAAAAAAAGAACCCUCAACGACAAUCGAACACGGCGGCCUUAUGCCGCAAGGCAUAUUGCAAAACUGACUCAUAUUGGUGAAACCCUAAUAAUACAAUUGUAAUUUAACCUGUCGUAUGUUAGGAUAAUACCAAGGGAAGUUUUGUAUGAAAAAUCAAAUUCAAAAAGCAUAUAUCGCAGGAUUUCUUGAUGGCGAUGGAAGCGUUUACGUUAGGCUAAAAUCCAAUCCUACUUAUAAGUAUGGAUUUCAGGUGGCACCUUACGUUGUAUUGUUCCAAUCGCAAAAAGAUCAGAAAAACUUUGAGAA